rnacentral:rRNA from 1 species
GACGAACGCUGGCGGCGUGCUUAACACAUGCAAGUCGAACGGAAAGGCCCUGCUUUUGUGGGGUGCUCGAGUGGCGAACGGGUGAGUAACACGUGAGUAACCUGCCCUUGACUUUGGGAUAACUUCAGGAAACUGGGGCUAAUACCGGAUAGGAGCUCCUGCUGCAUGGUGGGGGUUGGAAAGUUUCGGCGGUUGGGGAUGGACUCGCGGCUUAUCAGCUUGUUGGUGGGGUAGUGGCUUACCAAGGCUUUGACGGGUAGCCGGCCUGAGAGGGUGACCGGCCACAUUGGGACUGAGAUACGGCCCAGACUACUACGGUAGGCAGCAGUAGGGAAUAUUGCACAAUGGGCGGAAGCCUGAUGCAGCAACGCCGCGUGCGGGAUGACGGCCUUCGGGUUGUAAACCGCUUUCGCCUGUGACGAAGCGUGAGUGACGGUAAUGGGUAAAGAAGCACCGGCUAACUACGUG